rnacentral:rRNA from 1 species
AUUGAACGCUGGCGGCAGGCCUAACACAUGCAAGUCGAGCGGAGCGGCGGACGGGUGAAUACUGCCUAGGAAUCUGACUGGUAGUGGGGGAGAAAGUCCGGAAACGGGCGCUAAUACCGCAUACUAUCAGAAGAGCCUAGGUCGACUUAGCGAGUUGGUGGGGUAAGUGCCUACCAGGGCGACGAUCCGGAACUGGUCUGAGAGGAUGAUCAGUCAAACUGGAACCGAGACACGGUCCAGACGCCGACGGGAUGAAGCAGUGGGGAAUAUUGGCCAAUGGGCGAAAGCCUGAGCCAGUCAUGCAGCGUGUGUGAAGAAGGUCUUCGGAUUGUAAAGCACUUUAAGUUGGGAGGCGUUACCAACAGAAUAAGCACCGGCUAACAUCGUGCCAGCAGCCGCGGGAAUUC